ensembl:lncRNA
CACCUCUGAGCAAAGGUAGGAGGUGUCAGGUAAGACAAAGCAAAUGAUAAAGAAAGAAGUGGAGAGCAGCAAAGGACAACAGGCAUGAAUACAGAGUCCAGCCUGUAGACAAAAGCAUGAAUGGAAGAGUACAGAGGCCAGGCUGUAGACAAAGAUGCAGCAACCACACAGGACACUACAGAAAAGAGUUGUCUCCAGCGCGAGCUUCUGCCCUUCCCAAGAGGGAAGCUGACUCCGGCACCUUGGGACAUGGACGUCUCAGCCCAACAGAACGAAACAUAUAAACUACAAACCAACACAGCCUCCCCGCACACCGCACACCACAUCUUGCAGAGAAAGGAGGUGGCCCGAGUGCUUUAAGUGCCUCACAACGUCCACAUUGUGCUGGUGGAGUUACUUUUAAUGAAGUUGUUAUUAUGCCACAAGAAUGCAAUAAAACAUCUGAAACCUGAAAUUUCCUAUUUUUUAUCAUCUCCUGUGUAAAAAAAAAAAAAAAUCUCCAAAAAAAAAAAAAAAAAAAAAAAAGGAAAAAAAGGUUUGUUUUCAAACGUAGUAUACGGGAGUAACUGGAUAGAGAGGUUCCAAGCCAAC